CUCGUAGGUGGCCAACUAAGUCAGACGUGAAAUCCCUCAGCUUAACUGGGGAACUGCGUCUGAUACUGGAUGGCUUGAGUUUUGGGAGAGGGAUGCGGAAUUCCAGGUGUAGCGGUGAAAUGCGUAGAUAUCUGGAGGAACACCGGUGGCGAAGGCGGCAUCCUGGACCAAUACUGACACUGAGGAGCGAAAGCCAGGGGAGCAACG
rnacentral:rRNA from 1 species